GACCUGGAAGUGAAUCGACUAGAACCGGAAAAUGUUUCUAACCAGCGUGUUGUUUGUUUAACAUGUUAUUUCGUGUUCUCAACACACGAGGUCCUAGUUUGUUGCAUUCACCUUGGGUAAAUCUUGAUGGAUUGUUUACAUGAGGAAAGGCGUCCACGAAGACAGAAAGAUUUUGGUCUUUUCCGCAAAACAGCUGUGGAAAACGGAGACGUGUACAGGAUGGAGGCGGUUUGAAGCGGACACGCAUCCGACAGACGCAAAGUGGCGGCACACGCGGACGGACGGGUCUGCGCGACGAUGACAACGAGGACGACCUGCAUUUGGGCAGGUGCUCAGACUGCGGUCCUCACCACCUGUGGAGGAAGAAGAACAACCACCACCGUAAAGAUGGACUCACGAGCAUUAAAAGAGCAGACAGUACCAUCGAAAGAGUCUCUUUCCUUGGAUGACCGCUUCACUUCACCAGGCCGUCACUAAAGGGGGGAAAAAAAAAAAAAAAAAAGUAAAUUUCUUGUGCAGCAAAUAGUUUUGACAAGUUUAAACC